AUGCCAUGGAGCACAGUGGUGGAUAAGGAAGACAUGGUCUGGCCGUAACAAUUUUGAAAUCUAAUGAAGCAGAUUAAAAAGUCAAUGGAAGCAUUUGAGAAAAAAACACCUUUCAAAGUGAAACUGUAUUAUGUUACUGGAACAUUUGUUAAAAAUCUAUUAACCUCUAAGAAGCCAAGAACAGAAAUUCAGCAAUAAAAGGUACUCUCAGAAACCACCUCUGGCCUGAAAAGGGGCCGACUGAAACAUAUACCUAUUUGAAGAUCCCUGGCACACAGAUACAGCAGAAGAAGCCCAAAUGUGUUAUCAAACCAUUGAGAGAAACAGAACUUUCCUCAAAGCCAAGAAACAGCUUUCAAAAGGAAGUUUCCCAAAAACUCUUCUAAAAGUACCAGCAUAUCUUCAAACCAAAUGAGGAAAUUGCAGGCCACAGAUACAAGUAACCAGCUUAACCACUGGAUUGUGCUCUCUCUUUCCUUCUGUAAUCUACUUUGAACAAAUAAUACAAACGUGAAUAAUCCAUUUGCUAUUGGUAUCUCAAGUUUUGUUGUCUUGAUUUCCCUGGUCUCUACCUUUUAUUCUGUAAUUAAGAACUAUUUAACGAUGAGUUGAAUUUAGAUUAAUUUCUUUUAACAAGGGUAUCUGACACAUAUAUAUGGCACUUAUUAGUGUCAAACACUGAUCUGAGCACUUAUAUUAACUUAUACACACACACACCUAUUAACUCAUUAUAUCCCCAUUUUAUUGAUAAAGAAACUGAGGCCCAAAAUGAUUAAGUGACUUGUCCAAAACCACACAGAGAGUUAAUGGCACAAAAUACUUUUCAAGCCCAGGCCACCUGGCUUUAGAAUCUGGGCACUUGAUAAUUAACAUUUUAGAUCACUGAUUCCCCAGGUUGCAGCCAGAAUAUGCAAUCAUUUUAGUGAUACCAGAAUGUAAGCUUUGUGAGGGGCUUUGUUUUCUUCACUGCUGUAUCCUUAUCACCAGAAUGUAGUAGAUGCUUAAUAAAUGCUGUAUGUCUCAUAUGAAUAAAUGGGU
rnacentral:lncRNA from 10 species